rnacentral:rRNA from 1 species
UACGUAGGGGGCUAGCGUUGUUCGGAAUUGCUGGGCGUAAAGCGUACGUAGGCGGCUUUGUAAGUUAGAGGUGAAAGCCCGGGGCUCAACCCCGGAAUUGCCUUUAAGACUGCAUCGCUUGAAUCAUGGAGAGGUGAGUGGAAUUCCGAGUGUAGAGGUGAAAUGCGUAGAUAUGCGGAAGAACACCAGUGGCGAAGGCGACUCACUGGACAUGUAUUGACGCUGAGGUACGAAAGCGUGGGGAGCAAACAGG